CCUACCAAAGCAAGGUUUCUCAAACAACUGUUGGGUGUUUGUAUUGAUGUAUGCCCUGUACAUUGCAAUGGAAGCACAAUGUGAUUUCACUGAGGAAAACAUGCAGCAAAUUAGGCGAUGGUGGAGUCUAGUUCUCCUGCAGAACUUUCCCAUGCCGUAAGUCUUGAACAUUAUUAAAACUUUUAAUUUGCGUCCUUAAAAUCACUUGUUUCACUGUAGCCAGACUAACCUGGAUAUAUUUUCACAUGGUAUGUAAUGUAAGUCAUUCACUCACUAAGGUCUGAAGAAGAGAGUUUGAAAGAUCGAAACAAAACGCAUUACAGGUAGGUGUCAUGAUGAGUGGUAUGGUUUUAAACCACUGUUUAAAGACUUAACCCCCCUCUCUCCAAUUUAUUUCAGGAUGAUGUAAA